rnacentral:rRNA from 1 species
GGCGUGCUUACACAUGCAGUCGACCGAUGAAGCUGUGCUUGCACAGUGGAUUAGUGGCGAACGGGUGAGUAACACGUGAGUAACCUGCCCUUCACUUUGGGAUAACUCCGAGAAAUCGGGGCUAAUACCGGAUAUGACUACUGGCCGCAUGGUUGGUGGUGGAAAGUUUUUCGGUGAGGGAUGGGCUCGCGGCCUAUCAGGUUGUUGGUGAGGUAGUGGCUCACCAAGGCGAUGACGGGUAGCCGGCCUGAGAGGGCGACCGGCCACACUGGGACUGAGACACGGCCCAGACUCCUACGGGAGGCAGCAGUGGGGAAUAUUGCACAAUGGGCGAAAGCCUGAUGCAGCGACGCCGCGUGGGGGAUGACGGCCUUCGGGUUGUAAACCUCUUUCAGCAAGGAAGAAGCGAAAGUGACGGUACUUGCAGAAGAAGCGCCGGCUAACUACGUGCCAGCAGCCGCGGUAAU